GAUGAAGAACGCAGCGAAAUGCGAUAACUAAUGUGAAUUGCAGAAUUCAGUGAAUCAUCGAAUCUUUGAACGCACAUUGCGCCCUUUGGUAUUCCUUAGGGCAUGCCUGUUCGAGCGUCAUUUGAAACCUCAAGCUCAGCUUGGUGUUGGGUGUCUGUCCCCGCCUCCGCGGGGACUCGCCUCAAAAUCAUUGGCGGCCGGUACGUUGGCUUCGAGCGCAGCAGAAACGCGAACUCGAGGCCCGGCGGAUCGGCGACCAAAAGUCUCUUCUUCACAGUUUGACCUCGGAUCAGGUAGGGAUACCCGCUGAACUUAAGCAUAUCAAUAAGCGGAGGA
rnacentral:misc_RNA from 1 species